CUUUAUUAGUUCUCUAUAUUCUCUGCCUCCAGGGAGAAGGAACCAAAUCCUGCUACGUCCAAGAGAUCGCGAGAACACAGACUGAGGAUGAGCAGUGACUGCACGUCCCUCUGCAUUCUCGCGAUCUCUUGGCCCCCAGUGAAUGCCCACACACCACUCAGGACCGCAGAGUUCAAAGAUCCAGGGAUGCUAAGCAGCGCUCGGGGAUUCACUGGGGGCCACAACAGAUAGUUCAGCCAAAUUACCUGUGGGGCCGUAUUAAAUCGGAACGCGGGACGCAAUUGGCCGGACUUUGGACAUGACUGCCCUAAACAGUAGUGAAUUAGGCAUAACACACAAGAUUUGGAAAUUGUUAUAGACAAACUAGGCAACAUUGUGCAAUGUCAAUCAGCAGUUUCUAAGGCCAGUAAGAUUUUGACAUAAAAAGGGACAUUAUUUCUCAGGAUGAAAAUUACAAUUUUGCCUCUUUAUAAAAUCACUGAUAAGUCUACAGCUUGAAUAUGCU